rnacentral:rRNA from 1 species
GAUGAACGCUGGCGGCGUGCUUAACACAUGCAAGUCGAACGAAGCACUUUAUUUGAUUUCCUUCGGGACUGAUUAUUUUGUGACUGAGUGGCGGACGGGUGAGUAACGCGUGGGUAACCUGCCUUGUACAGGGGGAUAACAGUUGGAAACGGCUGCUAAUACCGCAUAAGCGCACAGCAUCGCAUGAUGCAGUGUGAAAAACUCCGGUGGUAUAGGAUGAACCCGCGUUGGAUUAGCCAGUUGGGGAGGUAACGGCCCACCAAGGCGACGAUCCAUAGCCGACCUGAGAGUGUGACCGCCCACAUUGGGACUGAGACACGGCCCAAACUCCUACGGGAGGCAGCAGUGGGGAAUAUAGCACAACGGGCGAAAGCCUGAUGCAGCGACGCCGCGUGAGCGAAGAAGUAUUUCGGUAUGUAAAGCUCUAUCAGCAGGGAAGAUAAUGACGGUACCUGACGAAGAAGCACCGGCUAAAUACGUG